UGGCCAACAUGGACAUUUCUGCUUUA
rnacentral:piRNA from 1 species